UGGCGGCAGAGGAGCCCCCACCGCCCAGCCAGACCCUGGAUCCCCAGCCCAUGCACAGAAGCAGCACUCUGGAGGACAGUCUGCGGGGGUCACGCCCCGUCCAGGGCUUCUGACUUUUGCCCUUUCAGGCCCACACCGUGUCCCCCCACCUGAGAGGCCCCCCUCUCCCUCCAGUGUACCCAGCCUGCCCUCUUUCAGCCCCACCUGCUCCUCAGAGCAGCCCUCACCCCUCUGUCUUGGUUUCCCUGGGCAAGUGCUGUCAUCUGAUGGGAGUAUGUGAGGGCAUGUGUUGUUUCUUACAGUCUAGCCCAGGGGUGGGCAAACUUUUUGACUCGAGGGCCACAAUGGGUUCUUAAACUGGACCGGAGGGCCGGAACAAAAGCAUGGAUGGAGUGUUUGUGUGAACUAAUAUAAAUUCAAAGUAAACAUCAUUACAUAAAA